GCCUUAGUAACGGCGAGUGAAGCGGCAACAGCUCAAAUUUGAAAUCUGGCGCCUUUGGCGUCCGAGUUGUAAUUUGCAGAGGAUGCUUCGGUGUCGGCACCGGUCUAAGUUCCUUGGAACAGGACGUCACAGAGGGUGAGAAUCCCGUAUGUGAUCGGCUGCCAUCGCCAUGUGAAGCUCCUUCGACGAGUCGAGUUGUUUGGGAAUGCAGCUCUAAAUGGGAGGUAAAUUUCUUCUAAAGCUAAAUACUGGCCAGAGACCGAUAGCGCACAAGUAGAGUGAUCGAAAGAUGAAAAGCACUUUGGAAAGAGAGUUAAACAGCACGUGAAAUUGUUGAAAGGGAAGCGGUUGCCACCAGACUUGACCACGGGCGCUCAGCCGGGCUUCUGCCCGGUGCACUCGCUCGUGGCCAGGCCAGCAUCAGUUCGGGCGGUCGGACAAAGGUCCUGGGAAUGUAGCUCCCCUCGGGGAGUGUUAUAGCCCGGGGCGUAAUACGGCCAGCCUGGACUGAGGUCCGCGCUUCGGCUAGGAUGCUGGCGUAAUGGUUGCAACCGGCCCGUCUUGAAACACGGACCAAGGAGUCUAACAUCUAUGCGAGUGUUUGGGUGUCAAACCCAUACGCGUAAUGAAAGUGAACGGAGGUGGGAGCCGCAAGGCGCACCAUCGACCGAUCCUGAUGUCUUCGGAUGGAUUUGAGUAUGAGCAUGGCUGUUGGGACCCGAAAGAUGGUGAACUAUGCCUGAAUAGGGUGAAGCCAGAGGAAACUCUGGUGGAGGCUCGCAGCGGUUCUGACGUGCAAAUCGAUCGUCAAAUUUGGGUAUAGGGGCGAAAGACUAAUCGAACCAUCU
rnacentral:rRNA from 1 species